rnacentral:rRNA from 1 species
GACGAACGCUGGCGGCGUGCUUAACACAUGCAAGUCGAACGGUGAAGGGACUGGUUUUGCUGGUCCUGGAUGAGUGGCGAACGGGUGAGUAACACGUGAGUAACCUGCCCCCUUCUUCUGGAUAACCGCAUGAAAGUGUGGCUAAUACGGGAUAUUCUGGGUCUGUCGCAUGGUGGGCCUGGGAAAGAUUGCGCCUUUUUUGGUGUUUUUGGUGGGGGAUGGGCUCGCGGCCUAUCAGCUUGUUGGUGGGGUGAUGGCCUACCAAGGCGGUGACGGGUAGCCGGCCUGAGAGGGUGGACGGUCACACGGGGACUGAGACACGGCCCAGACUCCUACGGGAGGCAGCAGUGGGGAAUAUUGCACGAUGGGCGCAAGCCUGAUGCAGCGACGCCGCGUGAGGGAUGGAGGCCUGCGGGUUGUGAACCUCUUUCGCCAGUGAAGCAGGCCUGCCUCUUUGUGUGGGUGGGUUGACGGUAGCUGGAUAAGAAGCGCCGGCUAACUACGUG